rnacentral:rRNA from 1 species
GGUUAAGCGACUAAGCGUACACGGUGGAUGCCCUGGCAGUCAGAGGCGAUGAAGGACGUGCUAAUCUGCGAUAAGCGUCGGUGAGGUGAUAUGAACCGUUAUAACCGGCGAUUUCCGAAUGGGGAAACCCAGUGUGUUUCGACACACUAUCAUUAACUGAAUCCAUAGGUUAAUGAGGCGAACCGGGGGAACUGAAACAUCUAAGUACCCCGAGGAAAAGAAAUCAACCGAGAUUCCCCCAGUAGCGGCGAGCGAACGGGGAGGAGCCCAGAGCCUGAAUCAGUGUGUGUGUUAGUGGAAGCGUCUGGAAAGGCGCGCGAUACAGGGUGACAGCCCCGUACACAAAAAUGCACAUAUUGUGAGCUCGAUGAGUAGGGCGGGACACGUGGUAUCCUGUCUGAAUAUGGGGGGACCAUCCUCCAAGGCUAAAUACUCCUGACUGACCGAUAGUGAACCAGUACCGUGAGGGAAAGGCGAAAAGAACCCCGGCGAGGGGAGUGAAAAAGAACCUGAAACCGUGUACGUACAAGCAGUGGGAGCCUCUUUAUGGGGUGACUGCGUACCUUUUGUAUAAUGGGUCAGCGACUUAUAUUCUGUAGCAAGGUUAACCG